UAGAGUUUGCGGGCUUUGCCUGCUAUCUCUUACCCAUGUCCUUUGAGUACUUACGUUUCCUCGGUGGGCUCGCCCGCCGAUUGGACAAUUUAAACCCUUUGCAGUUGCAAUCAGCGUCUGAAAAAAAUUAAUAAUUACAACUUUCAACAACGGAUCUCUUGGUUCU
rnacentral:misc_RNA from 1 species